AGCAGCCAGUCUGUUCUGAGCUGCUGUGUGGAGAGCCCGCUUGUUUGUGUGCACAAGCGUAUUACAAAAGGAAAGGUCUUGCAACCUUUACAUUUCAUGCUCUCAUUCCAAGGUUUUAAAGGGCAUAGCUGUGACUGUCUGUGUCCUCCCUGGGUAUUCUAAUAUGUUCAUGUCAGUUCCAAAUCAACGGCCUACGCUGAAUGGGAUGAACACAUGUGGGGUCCAGACUGUGCUGGCUAGCUGGGCAUGAAAACAGCUGGAAAGACAGGUCUCAUUGUAGUUGACAGAAGAACCAGAAAUGAUUUCUAGGCCAUAAUGCCCAGCAGUAUGUCAGUUAUCCAAUGAAGACAUCAUUUAUUGAUUCAUUAAUCUGUACGUUAUGCUGCCUUUUAAUUGCUGUUUGGAAAGGUGCAUAAGUUGGGCUUUAUGCAUUUUGUACUUGUAUUACACCUCCUGUUAAUAA